AUUGAACGCUGGCGGCAGGCUUAACACAUGCAAGUCGAGCGGGGGAGGUUGCUUCGGUAACUGACCUAGCGGCGGACGGGUGAGUAAUGCUUAGGAAUCUGCCUAUUAGUGGGGGACAACAUUCCGAAAGGAAUGCUAAUACCGCAUACGCCCUACGGGUGAAAGCAGGGGAUCUUCGGACCUUGCGCUAAUAGAUGAGCCUAAGUCGGAUUAGCUAGUUGGUGGGGUAAAGGCCUACCAAGGCGACGAUCUGUAGCGGGUCUGAGAGGAUGAUCCGCCACACUGGGACUGAGACACGGCCCAGACUCCUACGGGAGGCAGCAGUGGGGAAUAUUGGACAAUGGGCGGAAGCCUGAUCCAGCCAUGCCGCGUGUGUGAAGAAGGCCUUUUGGUUGUAAAGCACUUUAAGCGAGGAGGAGGCUCUUAAGGUUAAUACCCUUGAUGAGUGGACGUUACUCGCAGAAUAAGCAUCGGCUAACUCUGUGCCAGCCGCCGCCGUAACAC
rnacentral:rRNA from 1 species